AGAGGGGGACGCAGAAUCUGAAGCAGGCUCCAGGCUCUGAGCUGUCAACCAGAGGCCCGAUGUGGGGCUCAAACUCACGAACCGUGAGAUCAUGACCUGAGCUGAAGUCGGACACUUAACUGACAGCUACCCAGGUACCCUAAAAAAUAAUUAUUUCUAUUCCUGUCUUCUUGUCACUUUAGAGUUUCCUAGAGGCUGAGUAUGAUGGUACUCUCACAAACCUUAAGAUCUACCAGCUGAAGGUGACUUCAGGGAUUUUCAAACAUCUUUUAUACCAAAAUCCAAGGGAUUGUUUUUAAAGCUUAUGUUGCCACUGGGAAUGAGUUCUUUAGAUUUUGAUUUUCUACGAAGAAAAGGAUACGAAAAUGAAAAGAAAGCAGGAGCUGAAAGAAUAGGAGAGAAGAGAAAGAGAAAUUAGAAAGGGAAAGAAGAAAACCAAGGACUGAUCCUUGGGAUGCUCCAAAAUUAAUAGGUCUUGGAGAAGAGAGAGUGCUAGCAUGAAGACUGAGAAGGAAUAACCAGUGAGCUAGGAGGCAAAUGAAAAAGAGUAUGGUGUCCUGGAAGCCAUGUGAAGAAAAUAUAUUGAGGAAGAGGGAGUCAUCAGCCAUGCCACUGGAUUUACAGGCAGCUAAUGAAGUAAACCAACCCAGGGACUUCCUCUAGACUGGGAGGUGCUAACCAAGGGAGUACAACAGAAAGCAUGCCUGGGGUGAGUGGCUUGGCCUAGCUUUUAGUCUGUCCACAUCAGAGGACACAGUAUGGUGCCUCCCAGUCCUCAUCUGGCCCCCAGACCUUUUUGUUGUUGUUCUAAUAAAAUUUAAAAUCAUU